CGAGGCCCGUGGGCGGCUCGCUCCGGGGAGCGGGGGGAGGCGGCGGGAGGAGCCGCUCCGAUCCGUUUUUCUUUCGCAGGUGGAUUUUCGCGAAGGCGCCUGCGCUGUACGGAGCCCCGCAGAGCGGCGGUGCUGGCGGGGAGGCAGGAGCGGGAUGUUCCCGGGGGCGAGUUCGCCUGCUGCGGGCUUGUGGCUGCCUUCACUCUGAGCAAGGCUGAAGUUAUGUUAACGUAGCUUCUGAAGAGGAAAGUGAGCCAAGAUCCCCACCCCGCUCUUUGGCUUGGAGAAUCCUUGCUCUGAAGGAAACUCUCUAAAGUUCAUCUGAAGCCUCUCCACUUCCUGCAGUGUGGAAGAAAGAGAAGACUGUUUUACCUCUGAACCAGAGUUUCCUGUUUACCAGAAAGAAGAGAGAGCGCUAUUUUAUCUUUCUUUCAGGUCUUCCAGCUGCUGAAGGAUGACUAUAUAUAGGCAUCCCUCCACCCUUCCUACUGGCAGCAGUAGGAAGACAGAGGUUUCUGCUGUUCUCUUCCAUGAAACUCCUGCCUGUGAAUAACUCCAAGGCUUUUGCUAGUACCACUGCUCCUGGUCAGUGCUUUCCCCAGGACCAGAUGUAGUGUAGAGUCAACAUAACGCUUGACAGAGAGAUAUGUUGUCUAUGGUUUCCUCAGGGAGACUGAUGAAACUAAGCCACCUAUACAUUUCAUUGUGUUGUUGUAUGACAGCAUUUGAACAGCAGCAGUGAAAGUGGAGCUGAUGGCAGGUGUACAACAAUACAUCAAUUCACCUUUGGAAUAUUAGCUUUGCAAGUGCAAAGAUCAGAAGCAUUUCAGACUGCUGCCUUAAAUUUUACUGAAAUUAAGAGUUUUCAGAUGAGAAUUGGCCAUGACAUGCAAAAUUCUGAGUGAUUUCUUUGCAAGGCAAGGCAUCUACUACAGUCUCUGGAAGGGAAGAGGGUCAUAGCCUAAACUGAAAUGCACUGAAACAGUUAUCCUGUGCCUGCUAAAAAAAUUAUAAACUCUCUGGGCUAAAAAAAACAUGUUUGAGAAAGGUAUGUAAAUGUAAUUAAAGAUUUUAUCAGAACUGUAAUGUUUGUUCUUGAUGCUUGAAAGUGCAACCUAUUUUUCAGAUCAUGUGGAUUUUCUUUAAUUAUACUAAUUAAGCCUCCUCUACAGAUAUGACAGCAUACCUGCUGUUCAGUUUUUAAAUCUGAGUUUUACCAUAAGAUAUUAUGCAUGAGGGAAUUGAUUCUGAAUUCAUGUAUGUCAAUAUAAAAUUCCAGCAGCUCCACUAAAGUGAGUAGCAUGACCCCAGUUCUUGCCAGAAUAACUUUAAAUCAUGUCUGGUUCAUUGUAUCAAUGUUAAUUCACUUAUUACACCCUCUAUUCUACAAAUAAUAUCUGAAUCUGACUUGAAAUCAAUAAAGUUUUUCAGUAGGAUUCCUCCUGAACUGCA
rnacentral:lncRNA from 1 species